rnacentral:rRNA from 1 species
AGUGAACGCUGGCGGCAGGCCUAACACAUGCAAGUCGAACGGCAGCACAGUAAGAGCUUGCUCUUACGGGUGGCGAGUGGCGGACGGGUGAGGAAUACAUCGGAAUCUACUUUUUCGUGGGGGAUAACGUAGGGAAACUUACGCUAAUACCGCAUACGACCUACGGGUGAAAGCAGGGGAUCUUCGGACCUUGCGCGAUUGAAUGAGCCGAUGUCGGAUUAGCUAGUUGGCGGGGUAAAGGCCCACCAAGGCGACGAUCCGUAGCUGGUCUGAGAGGAUGAUCAGCCACACUGGAACUGAGACACGGUCCAGACUCCUACGGGAGGCAGCAGUGGGGAAUAUUGGACGAUGGGCGCAAGCCUGAUCCAGCCAUACCGCGUGGGUGAAGAAGGCCUUCGGGUUGUAAAGCCCUUUUGUUGGGAAAGAAAAGCAGCAGGUUAAUACCCCGCUGUUCUGACGGUACCCAAAGAAUAAGCACCGGCUAACUUCGUG